rnacentral:piRNA from 1 species
UAUUAAAAGAUUUUAAUAUCAAGAUUGACAA